CCUACGGGUGGCAGCAGUGGGGAAUAUUGGGCAAUGGGCGCAAGCCUGACCCAGCAACGCCGCGUGAAGGAAGAAGGCUUUCGGGUUGUAAACUUCUUUUCUGAGGGACGAAGAAAGUGACGGUACCUCAGGUAUAAGCCACGGCUAACUUCGUGCCAGCAGCCGCGGUAAUAAGUAGGUGGCAAGCGUUAUCCGGAUUUAUUGGGGGUAAAGGGCGUGUAGGCGGGAAAGCAAGUCAGAUGUGAAAACUCAGGGCUCAACCCUGAGCCUGCAUUUGAAACUGGUUAUCUUGAGUGCUGGAGAGGCAAUCGGAAUUCCGUGUGAAGCGGUGAAAUGCGUAGAUAGACGGAGGAACACCAGUGGCGAAGGCGGAUUGCUGGACAGUAACUGACGCUGAGGCGCGAAAGCGUGGGGAGCAAACAGGAUUAGAUACCCUUGUAGUC
rnacentral:rRNA from 1 species